rnacentral:rRNA from 2 species
UGUUUCGGCUAGGGGGCCAUCCCGGCUUACCAACCCGAUGCAAACUGCGAAUACCGGAGAAUGUUAUCACGGGAGACACACGGCGGGUGCUAACGUCCGUCGUGAAGAGGGAAACAACCCAGACCGCCAGCUAAGGUCCCAAAGUCAUGGUUAAGUGGGAAACGAUGUGGGAAGGCCCAGACAGCCAGGAUGUUGGCUUAGAAGCAGCCAUCAUUUAAAGAAAGCGUAAUAGCUCACUGGUCGAGUCGGCCUGCGCGGAAGAUGUAACGGGGCUAAACCAUGCACCGAAGCUGCGGCAGCGACGCUGAUGCGUUGUUGGGUAGGGGAGCGUUCUGUAAGCCUGUGAAGGUGUGUCGUGAGGCAUGCUGGAGGUAUCAGAAGUGCGAAUGCUGACAUAAGUAACGAUAAAGCGGGUGAAAAGCCCGCUCGCCGGAAGACCAAGGGUUCCUGUCCAACGUUAAUCGGGGCAGGGUGAGUCGACCCCUAAGGCGAGGCCGAAAGGCGUAGUCGAUGGGAAACGGGUUAAUAUUCCCGUACUUGGUGUUACUGCGAAGGGGGGACGGAGAAGGCUAUGUUGGCCGGGCGACGGUUGUCCCGGUUUAAGCGUGUAGGUGUGUGUUCCAGGUAAAUCCGGUUCACUUUAACACUGAGGCGUGACGACGAGGCACUACGGUGCUGAAGCAACAAAUGCCCUGCUUCCAGGAAAA